rnacentral:lncRNA from 1 species
UACAUUUGAUUAUUUUUUUUUCUGUUUACAAAAUUCAGCAUAAAAGUCAGGAAGAUAUAAGUCCUCUUCGCAGUGUGGCCAUAGUUCUUUAAAGUUUCUGGCAGCAGUGGAAGCUCACUUGUAAAUCUGUUUUUUAAAUUAUGAUCAGAAGAUGCGGUAGCUGUGCUCUCAUCCAUCUGUAAGAAGAAUUGCACUACUCAGCCUAUGGGAAUGUCUGCCAACUAGAAGCCGGUGAAAUUCACUGACCCCAAGUAAACUUUUUCUGACAGAGGAAAACAGGCAUGGUGCUUUCUGCUGCAGGAGGCUGCCUCACAAGUCCUUUCCCAGCCCAGAUAUGUAUUGAGUGUCAAGUUGGCCACUGACUAUUUACGCUUUUCUGCAGAAGAGCUUUGGGAUGUGCCUUGGCUGUUGAUUUUCAGUGGCAGAAGCUCAUGGCUUUCAGCUCUAACCUUCAGAAUUUGCUGCUAGUGGACAACAGCCUCAUCACAGUCAGCAAAUAUGCAGGAGCUAGAGCUCUUGCAAGGCACUGGUGAGGAUCAGAGCCUUGGAGGUAACUUCAUUCUCCAGCACACUCUGAUGCUGCCUGAUCUGUGAACAUCUGUGAUUCUCCAGAUUGUC